rnacentral:lncRNA from 1 species
ACCCGAGGCUCAACGCUUCUCAGUCUCUUGAACUAGCCUUCAUUGUUGCUGAACGGCUGAGGAAGAGAAGAACCGCUACUCAGCGUCUCUCUUAAGUUGCCAUCUUCUUUUCUCUCUUUUGUUUUUGUGAGUUUGGUGUCUUUAUGACCUGCCUCUUUAGGAGGAGUAAACCUUGCUUGAACCUUGUUACGUUUUGCUCUCUGCCCAGACAAUCUCACGUCUUUGUUGUUUCAAUUUAAUGUUAAAACUGUAUGAAUGCUACUACUGUAAACUCCUCCUUAUUACAUAUAUAUAUAUACAGUAUCUACCAACUUGGAACUCGUUCAGUGUGACUAACCUCGUUACUCAACAAGGCCCAUUAGCUCAGUUGGUUAGCGCGUCGUGCUAAUAACGCGAAGGUCGCAGGUUCGAAACCUAAAUCCCAACAACAAACCUGGAAGAAUCACUGUGAUUGUGAGAAUGGGUGCAGAGAACAUGAGAGUUAAGCUUCCUCACCUAAUCAGAGCAGUGCGCAGGUCAGGCCAGAUUGUGACAUGGGUCUGCGACCCAAUGCAUGGAAACACCAUCAAAGCACCUUGCGGUCUCAAAACAAGAGCCUUUGACUCUAUCCUGGUACACACUCUUCCAUCAGCAUAACAUGUGUAUAUACUUAGCUUUUGCAUGUAUUUAUAAUCUUUUUUUAAACAGGCUGAAGUGAGAGCGUUCCUUGAUGUGCACGAGCAAGAAGGAAGCCACGCGGGAGGUAUCCAUCUAGAGAUGACAGGACAGAACGUGACAGAGUGCAUUGGAGGGUCCCGUACUGUGACAUACGAUGACUUAAGCUCACGCUACCACACACACUGUGACCCGAGGCUCAACGCUUCUCAGUCUCUUGAACUGGCCUUCAUUGUUGCUGAACGGCUGAGGAAGAGAAGGACCGCUACUCAGCGUCUAUCUUAAGUUGCCGUUUUAUUUUCUCUCUUUUGUUUUUGUGAGUUUGGUGUCUUUAUGACCUGCCUCUUUAGGAGGAGUAAACCUUGCUUGAACCUUGUUACGUUUUGCUCUCUGCCCAGACAAUCUCACGUCUUUGUUGUUUCAAUUUAAUGUUAAAACUGUAUGAAUGCUACUACUGUAAACUCCUC